GCGUGUGUGUGUGUCUGGCUUUAAUACAGAAUACGGGACAGGCCUCCCCUGUUAGGAUGUAUCCCACGACCUAUGGGUCAACACACAUGGCGUGCAAGGAAACCUUUGAAGAUCUGCAACUUUAAGUUCCCAGGUUCUAUCCACAGUUUUUGACCGCGCAUACUCUGAGGAUGCAGACAAUGUCUUAGAAUCAGAGUUUAUAAGCAAUAUCCAGGAGAAUUGCAGAAAGAACCACUUGGUUCUCAGUUGGUGAAUGCAGCUGUGACACCAUCCGGGCCCAGUUCCGCUCAUGCAGGAAUACAGAGCUGAACCCGUAAUGAGGACCAUGUAAUUUUCAUUUCAUCUGACUCAGAAGACGAAUUCUUGCCUGGCCUUCGUUCAGGGCAGAGAUUUGAUUCCAACCCAGUUUUAUUACCCCAAAACCAGAACCGCUACAUGAAAGCCCUCACAUGGUGCCAGAGAAAUACAGAAGAAGUUUACAGCAGACAAUCUGCAAGCAAGAGUUGUUUUAGUGGAGG